rnacentral:lncRNA from 1 species
AUGGGAAGGCACACUGCUGCCACGUGGGGAGCACGGACGUGCGAGGCCGCGGAGGCAGCCCCACGAGGGUGCCUCUGUGCCCAGCACACAGGCUGUGCAGAAGGGGCGGCGUCUCUACGAUCAGGUCUCUGUUAUGUUCUCCGCAGGCGCGGAACGCACAUCCCGCCGCCUCCUGGGACCCGGGGCCACGACAGGGCGGGCAUCGCAGAGGCGGGGGAGGGCGGGCGGCAUUCAGACCAACAGGCCCCUUUUGUGCCGCCUUCAAUCGCCAUUGACCGAAGACAAACCGGGCUGCAUUUCAGGGUUUCCAUUUCAGCGGUCCCCGGGGGUGGCCGGCUGCAGUUUGCGGGGGAGGAGGAAUGGGGCCCAAGAACUUUCUGCCAAUCGGAGGCCCAGGGUGCGGCCCGGCAGAUCGGGGAAAGGUGCCAAAUAGGACAGCGGAAAGCCCAUGCCCUCGUGCCAGCGUCGCCCAGAGAGCGCGGGAGGCGGCACCAGGAAGUGGUCUCCCAGGACCAGACCUCAGCUCAGCCAUCAGCCGCAACCUGGGGUCUCCUGCUGGAGGGCAACCCUCCCCCUCCGCCCAACAGAGGUGGCUGGGGGGGGGGGGGGGGUGCUGCGCCUCCUCCCCACCCCACGGAUCCCCGCGGCCUGGGUGCCCAAGCUCCCCCUGCUCUUCUGAGCCACGUGGCAGCCAGAGAUGGACUCAGUGUGGCCCCCUGCCCACUCACCGCAAACCCAAAGGCUGGAGACCACAACAAUGCCAUGGGUGGGGUGGGGGAGGGGAGGAAGCGUGCUGUAACCGGGAGCAUGGGGUGGGGCUGGGGGCCAGGCUGGGGAAACUGCGGGGCACAGACCCCACCCUGCCAGGCCGACCAAGCAGCUGAGGAUUUAGAGUGCUUAAAGUGGGGCGGGGGUGAGGGGUAUCCAAAGACUGAAAGGGACACUUGGCUGGCGGGGGGUGGGGGUGGGGUGAGGGUCUCCCAGUGGUGCCCGGACACUGGGAUGCGGGCGGGGAAGGGAUAA